AGCGACAGAUCUUCAUUGGACAAAUGAUAUGGGAUCGGUAGAUGAAAGACUUAGAAUAAAAUCACCGUCGACUCUGCUGCAUCACAGAUGGUGCCUUCUAUCAAUUUAAACUGGCUUCUUCAAAUGAUUCAAAAAUCGGCUUGCAAAUGAUCUGUUCAUCAGUUUCGUUGAUCUCCUCCAUGAACUGAUGAUGCAUCUCUUCUCGAUUACGAGCUCUGCAGAAUUUGAGUACCAAGUGUUUGAUAAUGCACUACUCUUUCUCGUAUAACGCCUUCCCUUUCGAGCGUCUACAGCAUUGCCGACGAAGAAUCAGAAUUAGGGCAAUCGUCAGAGAAACUCAAGACGCGUGAUCUGCAGUGAGAGCAAAUCGAAUGGUCACGGAAUCAGGCGCCAAUUCAAUAACUAUGAAACGAAUGAUUGCAAUUCGGAAGCAAACGAAUCGUCGAGGCCUUCAAUCCAUGGCUAUGGAUUGGCGGAGAAGGAUUGUUAGGUUUUUUCCACAAAUUGGACCUAGGCCGAUCGGAAAUCAAACCAUAAAGGACAAGGUAACGUCGUUUCAAUUUUCUCUAGGUGUUCAACAGUUGAAAGACGAGAUAUACGGUGGCGAGCAUCGAAAUUGACCACGGACUCCAGCUAGAGUAAUCAGGCGCCGGAAUUGGUGGCGGUGAACUCGAUGCGUAAGACUACAAACUCGUAGAUGAAACGAAAGCACUUGAAGAAUCUGAGUGUUAACAUUUGGAGCCAUCAGAAAGGCACUGUUGAAGCUAAACAUGGAAGAAGCUGAACAAAUUUGAGAAGAUCCACGAAACAUUUCAGUGUGUAAAAGAGAAUGCAGUGGCUUUGGGGAAGGGCUACUGGGUUUUGAAGGAAGGUUUUGAUUGAUGUUCUUAGUGUUGCAGCCAUUCACUAGAAGAGAGGGAAUCUUAAAGGCUUGCAAUGGCGGAGGAUUACGCCAUUGGGGAAGCGGUCCAGCAACCAGAAGCGUCUGAAGUAAAGGUCCUGCUUCUGUAACAGCUUGCAGAAGCUUGCCUUUCUGAGGUAACGCUUUUCCCUUUACAAGAUUAUCAAUCACUGCAGAAAAUGGAUCGGGCUUUUCUGUUUUGGGAGUGUCCACGCCUGUGGCCAGAGGCUGCGGGGCAUUAUACUCCGUGACAUAUGGCUGAUUUACAAAGCUCAUUUUGCAUGAAUCAGCCAUGUUUGCAGUAGAGAAAUCUGGUGAUGAAACUCCAUCAAAGAAAGAAUCUGCAGGUGAAGAACCAUAAGAUUGGUGAUUAUAAGUUUCAUAGAGACUGUUUGAUUCUGUGAUGCUUGAAUUUGCUUUGGUGGGUAUGUUGAGAGGGCUUUCAGGUUGGAAAAGAAGCAGGGCUGGUAAUUCAGUUGCAGUAGUACUUGGCACAAAUUUGCUCAUCAGUUUCUGCAGCUGAUCUCUUGCUUCGUCUCUUUCUUCAUAUGCUGCCUGCAGGAGAAGAAAUAUGUUCAUUGGAAAGGGCUUCUGUAGAAACUCGUUGCUAGAGGUUAUAUCAACGCCAAAAUUUACCAUAUUCAUCAAAAGCUCUUACCAAAAUUUACCAAAUAACCCAGAAACAAUGUCAAAACCGCCACAAUAUCGCCUCCUUCAAUCCAAUCGCACCACCUCCAGCGACUAUGUUUUUACGACGAAAGUUACCUAGGUUACAGCAGUGAACGUGAAAGCCAGCGGCAAUGAGCGGUAAGCCCUUAAAGUUGGCAGAGGCAGAGUGUGAAAGAAUUGGAAUCUUUGAGCAAAUGGGAUUGAAAACGGCGGCUGAAAAGUAAAGGGAUAGGGAUUUUUCAAAGCAACACCGUUAACAGUGUCGAGAGAGUUACCUUCUCCUCAUGCGCCACCUAAACGGCGGAGAAAAAAGUGACGAUCCUUCUCGCCUGACAAUAGUAUCGCUAUGUCGGGAGAAGGGGGCGAUGACGAUGAGAGAAAAUGAAUUGAGACUAACUACUUU